rnacentral:rRNA from 1 species
GACGAACGCUGGCGGCGUGCUUAACACAUGCAAGUCGAACGGAAAGGCCCUGCUUUUGUGGGGUGCUCGAGUGGCGAACGGGUGAGUAACACGUGAGUAACCUGCCCUUGACUUUGGGAUAACUUCAGGAAACUGGGGCUAAUACCGGAUAGGAGCUCCUGCUGCAUGGUGGGGGUUGGAAAGUUUCGGCGGUUGGGUAUGGACUCGCGGCUUAUCAGCUUGUUGGUGGGGUAGUGGCUUACCAAGGCUUUGACGGGUAGCCGGCCUGAGAGGGUGACCGGCCACAUUGGGACUGAGAUACGGCACAGACUACUACGGGAGGCAGCAGAGGAGAAUAUUGCACAAUGGGCGGAAGGCUGAUGCAGCAAAGCAGCGUGCGGGAUGACGGCCUUCGGGUUGUAAACCGCUGUCGCCUGUGACGAGGCGUGAGUGACGGUAAUGGGUAAAGAAGCACCGGCUAACUACGUG